UCUAGUAAUGAGUUUUGAAUCUUAAGUUGGUUGCAGUCAGUCACAGACAGACGUGAUAUUACACGUCAAAAAAGUUUAACAACGGAGAUCGGAUAACAAGUUAACUGUUUUUAAGUAAUAGAUAAAACAAACUUUAGCAAAUGAUUCUUACUGCAUUCUUGACUAUGUUUUCAGAUAAUUUCAGCUGAAGUUUUCAUGUACCUGGCCAACUAGGUGCUCGUGACAAUAGAAAUGAAAUGGUCUAAUCCAAUAAUGCAAGCUCACAAGUCACAACCUAUGUCUUCUGAAGAAAAAUCAUUUCUGUUGCAGUUGUAAAUCUUCAAGAUAUUGAUGCCUUCGCCAGAUCCAAUUCUUUGUUGCUGAUGAGAGAGAGAAUUCAUCAUUUUGUGUGCAACAGUUUUGAUUAUUUUUAUUUCUAAUUUAAAUUUUGCUUUAGAUUUUGCAUUUAGACUGAAUGAUAACCAUUUUGUUGCCCAUCCAAGGAUAAGGAAAAGGCCAACACCACCAACACGUCAACUAGGUUCUUUGUUUGUUAACCCCCUUGGCUGGUGAAAGAUUGUUGUGCAUCAAGUUAACCUGUGGCUGUUCCUUGUUGCUGGUGUCUUGCUACAGAAGUUACAGGCAGUUUAGAGUUUAGCCGUUUACGUUCGCGUAGUUGCUGUCCGGUGUGGCACGUUGUUGCAGCCUAUGUUGGUGAAAGAUCUUUCUGCAUCAAGUUCAACUGGUCGUUCCUUGGUGG